GUCUCAGAUGAUGCCUCCCAGAGCUUGCCUGGGGACAGAGGCAGCCACGCCUCCCCCCUCCUGAGGUGUCAGGAAGCCUCCCCGAACCGCUCCGUCCUCGCACUACCAUGUUCCUGCUCUGCCCUGGUGAACCCUUUGUCACUGCUCCUCUCUGCUGAGUUGUCACUGUCUUUCUCCAGCCAACUGCUCCUCCAGGAUAGGGCUCAUGCCCACACCCAGCACAAGCCAGGCCUGGGGUGGGGGACCCCAUUUGGGAAGUCCCCUCUCCCUAUGAGCAGACGAACAAGGGUUCCAGAGUGAGUGCCCAGGCCGGGGACCCCAGCACUACCAGGUCUGUCCAAUGAGAGAACCUGGAAGCAAGGACACUCCAGUAGCAGCGAGGACCCCAGCUUUGGCAUCUGCAUAUCUUCCUCCUCUAGGGGUCCAGGGGUUCCUGACUGAUUGCAAAGGCUGGGGCAGGGAAA